rnacentral:rRNA from 1 species
UAGGGAAUCUUCCGCAAUGGGCGAAAGCCUGACGGAGCAACGCCGCGUGAGUGAUGAAGGUCUUCGGAUCGUAAAACUCUGUUAUUAGGGAAGAACAAAUGUGUAAGUAACUAUGCACGUCUUGACGGUACCUAAUCAGAAAGCCACGGCUAACUACGUGCCAGCAGCCGCGGUAAUACGUAGGUGGCAAGCGUUAUCCGGAAUUAUUGGGCGUAAAGCGCGCGUAGGCGGUUUUUUAAGUCUGAUGUGAAAGCCCACGGCUCAAACGUGGAGGGUCAUUGGGAACUGGAAAACUUGAGUGCAGAAGAGGGUAGUGGAAUUCCAUGUGUAGCGGUGAAAUGCGCAGGGGUAUGGAGGAACACCAGUGGCGAAGGCGACUUUCUGGUCUGUAACUGACGCUGAUGUGCGAAAGCGUGGGGAUCAAACAGG